rnacentral:piRNA from 1 species
UACCAAGGUUGGAACAAUACAUGGGUA